rnacentral:rRNA from 1 species
AUUGAACGCUGGCGGCAGGCUUAACACAUGCAAGUCGAACGAGUGGCGGAAGGGUGAGUAAUGCUUGGGAAUCUGGCUUAUGGAGGGGGAUAACGACUGGAAACUGUCGCUAAUACCGCUUACCAUAGUAUGAGCCCAAGUGGGAUUAGCUAGUAGGUGGGGUAACGGCUCACCUAGGCGACGAUCCCUAGCUGGUCUGAGAGGCUGACCAGCCACACGGGGACUGAGACACGGUCCAGACUCCUACGGGAGGCAGCAGGGGGGAAUAUUGCACAAUGGGCGCAAGCCUGAUGCAGCCAUGCCGCGUGUGUGAAGAAGGCCUUCGGGUUGUAAAGCACUUUCAGCGGGGAGGCGUUACCCGCAGAAGAAGCACCGGCUAACUCCGUGCCAGCAGCCGCGGUAAUAC